AGAGUUUGAUCCUGGCUCAGGACGAACGCUGGCGGCGCGCCUAACACAUGCAAGUCGAACGAGCGAGAGAGAGCUUGCUUUCUCGAGCGAGUGGCGAACGGGUGAGUAACGCGUGAGGAACCUGCCUCAAAGAGGGGGACAACAGUUGGAAACGACUGCUAAUACCGCAUAAGCCCACGGCUCGGCAUCGAGCAGAGGGAAAAGGAGCAAUCCGCUUUGAGAUGGCCUCGCGUCCGAUUAGCUAGUUGGUGAGGUAACGGCCCACCAAGGCGACGAUCGGUAGCCGGACUGAGAGGUUGAACGGCCACAUUGGGACUGAGACACGGCCCAGACUCCUACGGGAGGCAGCAGUGGGGAAUAUUGCACAAUGGGGGAAACCCUGAUGCAGCGACGCCGCGUGGAGGAAGAAGGUCUUCGGAUUGUAAACUCCUGUUGUUGAGGAAGAUAAUGACGGUACUCAACAAGGAAGUGACGGCUAACUACGUGCCAGCAGCCGCGGUAAAACGUAGGUCACAAGCGUUGUCCGGAAUUACUGGGUGUAAAGGGAGCGCAGGCGGGAAGACAAGUUGGAAGUGAAAUCUAUGGGCUCAACCCAUAAACUGCUUUCAAAACUGUUUUUCUUGAGUAGUGCAGAGGUAGGCGGAAUUCCCGGUGUAGCGGUGGAAUGCGUAGAUAUCGGGAGGAACACCAGUGGCGAAGGCGGCCUACUGGGCACCAACUGACGCUGAGGCUCGAAAGUGUGGGUAGCAAACAGGAUUAGAUACCCUGGUAGUCCACACCGUAAACGAUGAUUACUAGGUGUUGGAGGAUUGACCCCUUCAGUGCCGCAGUUAACACAAUAAGUAAUCCACCUGGGGAGUACGACCGCAAGGUUGAAACUCAAAGGAAUUGACGGGGGCCCGCACAAGCAGUGGAGUAUGUGGUUUAAUUCGACGCAACGCGAAGAACCUUACCAAGUCUUGACAUCCCUUGACGAUGCUGGAAACAGUAUUUCUCUUCGGAGCAAGGAGACAGGUGGUGCAUGGUUGUCGUCAGCUCGUGUCGUGAGAUGUUGGGUUAAGUC
rnacentral:rRNA from 1 species